UUGAGCUUGGGCUGUCCGCCAUACCGGGGGACCUGGAUCCCCUGACGGCUUACCUAGCAGUGCCCAGGAUGGUGGCUGAGGGUAAAGCUGACAGAACUGGAGGUGGAGGAAGUAGCAGGCCAGAGAGGACUCGAAGAUCCUUAGAAGGAGCCAUAGAUGGAACCAUAGGAGGUGCCCAGGAGCUAUGGGCUCCAGAAGUUUCCUCCUAAACUGUGGUCUCAGCGAGGCUCAUUGACACUCACCGGGGUUUCGACAUUCUCCCUGGCUAGGGCCUGUUCUGGAAAUAGACCAAGGGGGAGAUGGAGCCCCUGGCCGUGGGACAUCCAAUCUGAUGGUGAUGAGAAGGCAUGAUGCCUCUUGUUCUAUUCUUUUUUCUUUCUUCUUUUUUUUUAAAUAAAAAAGACCAGUAAUGUGCUGACUUCAU
rnacentral:lncRNA from 1 species